rnacentral:rRNA from 1 species
AAGACCUUUGCGCUUUUGGAGCGGCCGAUGCCUGAUUAGCUAGUUGGUGGGGUAAUGGCCUACCAAAGCUUCGAUCAGUAGCUGGUCUGAGAGGACGGCCAGCCACACUGGGACUGAGACACGGCCCAGACUCCUACGGGAGGCAGCAGUGGGGAAUUUUGGACAAUGGGCGCAAGCCUGAUCCAGCCAUGCCGCGUGAGUGAAGAAGGCCUUCGGGUUGUAAAGCUCUUUCAGCCGGGAAGAAAAGGUUGCGAUUAAUAAUCGCAAUUUAUGACGGUACCGGAAGAAGAAGCACCGGCUAACUACGUGCCAGCAGCCGCGGUAAUACGUAGGGUGCGAGCGUUAAUCGGAAUUACUGGGCGUAAGGGGUGCGCAGGCGGUUUUGUAAGUCAGAUGUGAAAUCCCCGGGCUUAACCUGGGAACU